rnacentral:rRNA from 1 species
UACGUAGGGUGCGAGCGUUGUCCGGAAUUAUUGGGCGUAAAGGGCUCGUAGGCGGUCUGUUGCGUCGGGAGUGAAAACUCAGGGCUUAACCCUGAGCCUGCUUCCGAUACGGGCAGACUAGAGGUAUGCAGGGGGAGAACGGAAUUCCUGGUGUAGCGGUGAAAUGCGCAGAUAUCAGGAGGAACACCGGUGGCGAAGGCGGUUCUCUGGGCAUUACCUGACGCUGAGGAGCGAAAGUGUGGGGGAGCAAAACAGG